GUGGGGAAUUUUGGACAAUGGGCGCAAGCCUGAUCCAGCAAUGCCGCGUGCAGGAAGAAGGCCUUCGGGUUGUAAACUGCUUUUGUACGGAACGAAAAGGCUCUGGUUAAUACCUGGGGCUCAUGACGGUACCGUAAGAAUAAGCACCGGCUAACUACGUGCCAGCAGCCGCGGUAAUACGUAGGGUGCAAGCGUUCAUCGGAAUUACUGUGCGUAAAUCGUGCGCAGGCGGUUUUGUAAGACAGACGUGAAAGCCCCGGGCUCAACCUGGGAAUGGCGUUUGUGACUGCAAAGCUGGAGUGCGGCAGAGGGGGAUGGAAUUCCGCGUGUAGCAGUGAAAUGCGUAGAUAUGCGGAGGAACACCGAUGGCGAAGGCAAUCCCCUGGGCCUGCACUGACGCUCAUGCACGAAAGCGUGGGGAGCAAACAGGAUUAGAUACCCCGGUAGUCC
rnacentral:rRNA from 1 species